AUUGAACGCUGGCGGCAUGCUUUACACAUGCAAGUCGAACGGGGUGAAGGGGCAACUCUUCAUCUAGUGGCGAACGGGUGAGUAAUGCAUCGGAACGUGUCCCGUAGUGGGGGAUAACCCGGCGAAAGCCGGACUAAUACCGCAUAUGCUCUACGGAGGAAAGUGGGGAUCCGCAAGGACCUCACGCUAUGGGAGCGGCCGAUGUCCGAUUAGCUUGUUGGUGGGGUAAUGGCCUACCAAGGCGACGAUCGGUAGCUGGUCUGAGAGGAUGAUCAGCCACACUGGGACUGAGACACGGCCCAGACUCCUACGGGAGGCAGCAGUGGGGAAUUUUGGACAAUGGGGGCAACCCUGAUCCAGCCAUGCCGCGUGCGGGAAGAAGGCCUGGUGUAACG
rnacentral:rRNA from 1 species